rnacentral:misc_RNA from 1 species
GGCUUUCACUUGCAAGGUGUUUAUUAAUGAAAAAGAUAUAAAACUUUAUUACACGGGUACGAUUUAAUUUCUUUCAUUUGCAUUAAAUGUUUUAGACAGUUGCAAAAAUUUUGAGAAUUAUAUACAUAUUUCAAGGGAAAAAAAAAUUCCAUUUACUUUUGCAAUGAGAAAAUUAGCCGAAACCUAUUAAUCUAAUCUAACAGCAUCCCACUUGCUCUACAUUGUGCUCUUCGAGCUUGAUAUCCUCGUGGGAGACGUUCAAGAUGCCAGAUUGCUCAUUAACCUUAUCAAUGAGAAGCUUCAGUAGUGGGACGUUUGAAAGGGUUUUGCAUGAGCCCACCAGUAUCAAUUUUUUCUUAGCACGUGUAAGUGCUACAUUAAUCCUAUGCCAGUCACCAAGCAGUGAGGAACUAUAAUUUCUAGGAUUUUCACUAGACCUAACAAAGGAUACCAAUAUGCAGUCCUUGUCUCUUCCCUGGUACUUGUCAAUGGUAUUUAUCUCCACAGAGAUUAUGCAAACAGCAGUUCUGAUGAGAUUUGCCUGCGAGUUAUAGGGGGUAAUGACUCCAAUAUCUUCGCUUUCAAUUCCACAUUUAAUUAAUUCCUUCGCGACCUCUGCAAUAAUGUAAGCUUCCACUGGGUUAUUGACAGUCUUGGAAUCUUUUGACUCAUGAGCAGGCAACAUAUCUGUGUUAAUAAAUACAAUGGGUUUGUGUGGAUUCAAAACCUCAUUGAGCCAUGAGGAACAAGAUUUUAACCUUGAAAAUUUAAGUUUGCGAUUAGCUAUUUCAGGAGAACCACAUCGCAAUCUGUCACCAUAUAUCAAAGCAUUUGAUAGUUCCAUAAUGCCUUGACACAUACGAUACUGGCUUUGCAAGGCUGAAAUUGCCUGAGGAUGUGCUUCAGAGAGCCUGCAAAACAAACUUAUCCCCAUUCCAUUCUCUCGGGCCUCUGUACUCUGGACAAGGGGAGGCAAUUGAUAAUGAUCACCAACAAGAACAAACUUUGAAGCAAACAUCAAGGGUCCCAGGGAUAUUGGGAGAGUGAUCUGCCCAGCUUCAUCCAUGAUACAUACAUCAAAUUUCUUGUUUGCAAGCAAGGGGCUAGUAAUUCCCAAACAAGUUACUGCAACAACUUUGACUUGGUUGAAUCUUAGUCUAAUUUCUUCCACACUCUGUACAUCCAUUGCUGAAAAGCAAUUGGCCCUAACUUCUUCAUGAACAGCUUCAUGUCUUCCAAUUCGUAGAAAAUCAAUACCCUGAGCUUUCAAUUUGAUUAGUAAAUUAUCAACAGCAGAGUUUGUAUAGGACGUAAGCAAGAUAGAUGCACAUCUCAUCAACAAGGCCUUGACAGCAUAAACCAUAGUAGAUGUCUUGCCUGUCCCAGGCAUUCCAAGUAUUAAAGCAUAAUCCUUAGCAGUAAGUAUCUUAAGAAUUGCUCGGCGCUGAUCACCAUUUAAACUCUUCACUGACCAAAUAUAAGAUAUUGCUGGAUCUUGGCUAAAUACACACCCACUAUCAAAUCUAGGAGGCUCAAGGUCAACAAUUAUAUUCCUAAGAUGAGAACUCUGCGCAUUCUGUAAAAAAAGUUGUACAAGGUUGGACCUUCAGCAAUAGACAUGAGCAUGCAUUUAGCCAGGGUAUGAUACAUCAAUCUAACAAAACUGGUAUACAAGGAAUGAAAUUUUUACAGGAAGAUAUGAGUCACAAAUUACCGCAUAACUGAAAAUGAAGUCAUGGUUUCAUCCUUAUCAAUGCGCCACACCUCCUGAAGGAGAUCAUUUGCUUCUGGAAGAGAAUUACUACUAGGAAGCCUUAAGCGCUUAGACAAGGAAACAGAAACAUGAAAUUGACCAAUAUCUGCUAUGACACCACUUGCAACAGUCUGAUGACCAGAUUCAGUACUAAGAAUCACAUAGUCUCCAAUUUUAAGUGUACAAUCUAAAUCAUUCACUGGAGGAGAUGGAGCAUCCAAAGAAUCUCCUUUAGAUGCAUAGACAUUGUGAGGAAGCAAUAUCCGAGGCACAAAACGAUAGAUGAAUCGAUUAUCCUUGAGAGACUUUUGCUGUGAGAACCCAUUUGAAGCAUCAAGAACAAUAGAUGAAAGACAAUUAGUGGAGCGAUCACUCUUCAUAGCAUUUGAAUGCCAUAUUUCACUCCUUACAAGUUGUGUCUCUUUAGCCUCUAAGUCAAUCAACCGAUCCCAUUGUUGGAGGAAAGCACAAUGAGCAGCAGUCAAAUGGUAAACGUGUGAAUCAAACACAUCACCAAGCCCACUACUUUCUGUGCUUCCACCAUGCACCUUAUGAUAGAUGGUACAAACAGCAAGAUGGUGGCAAUUUCUGCACAUGCUUGGACUCCGAAGCAUUGGGGGCAAUUGUUGCAUUUUUGAUGCCUUGAGUAUGUCACUUGCAAGCUCAUUACGACGCAUAAUUAACCCAACCACAUCAGACCUUCGCACCAUAAUUCCCUGUGUCUGAUCUGAAUAGAGAUAAUGUAAAAUACCAGAAUCGAUAUGUCUCAAGUACCUCUCAGACAUAAGGAGAGUGUACAAGAUGACUUGAGCACAGUGUUCCAAAGAUGACUGUCCAUUAGGAACUUUCCCAGUUUUAAACUCUAGCGGCAAAAUCUUCUCAUUUGCUUCAUUUCCAGAUGACUCUACUUUUACUCUAAUAGAAGCAUCGAUUAUUCCCUUCAACCCAUACUUUGGGGCCCAUGCCAUCUCCUCAAUAUCAAUGACCUCAGAUAUUUUUAGGUUUCUCAAUCCAUAAUCAGAACCAAAAUCAACGACAGGGACUUUUGAAUCCUGUGAACCUUUGAAUGCGAUAAUCCAAUUUAAUAUUUUUGGAAUAGCCUCAACCAAGGUCUUCAACAUAUCAUUUUCAUUGACUCCACAUGCAUACAAGCUGUCAAUAUUUUUCUGGAGAACUACUCUCGCAUAACCCUCCAGAAAUUUUACUGUAGGCUUCUCAUCCAUAAGUCCAGCCUGAAAUAUUUGGUGCAGCAAGGUGCCAAUUAAUGCUGCAUCUGAAUGCUCACAGCAUUUUAGCCUCUCAUCAAGUACACUACGUCUGGGGCAACUGAAACUUGCAGCAACCCGAGUUCCAGAGAGUAGAAUGUCAGGAUGAACAAUCAAAAGAUUAUGGUCAUGGUCCACUUUACAUUUUCCUUGGUCAUCAAAUUCACCAAUCACAUUUACAGUAUCUCCAGGUGCAAUGACACUGUGAAACCACUCUCCAUGCAAAUAGACAAGUCUUUCUUCUCCACUCUGCUCAUUCAAUAAGCGAAGAACCUUAUAUGGGCAAUAAGCACCAAAGGGAUCACCAGGCCUAUGCUUCUCAGAUACCUCCAAUAUGAGAAAUUUAUGAUUUGAUGUUGACCUAGUUAACUUUUCUUGAGGACCUGGCGCCUCUCUUUGUACCAGAGGAUUAGAUUUGGGAGGUAUCUCUUUUCCAUUUACAUGUUGAACCGUAGAUGAAUAUGCUUUAUUGCCAAUCAAUACAGAAUCUUCAACAGAAAUCACAUCUUCUACUUGAUCUAAAAGUUCAAGCAAGGCCUUUUUGUGCUGUCUCAAAAUCAGUUGAUCCGACAGUUCAUUGCAUUGAACAUCAUUAGCAGCCCUUUCAUGACAAUAGGAUAGAGAUGGUGGAGUCCUGAAAGGACUCUGUCGAGUAGCAAGGGAGCCAUUCACUUCAGACAUGCUUACAUGGAUUGCUAUGUCCUGAAAUGGGUUUACCCUUUCCAAGUUCUCUCUGUUGGCAGGUAAGAUAGUUGUUUCGGUGGCCUCCCUUCUUGGUGAAGAGAACCGCUUGUCAAUCUUUCCAGCUAUGUGAGAAAUCUGGUUUAAUGAACACGGGCGCAUGCUUAAAGAGUUAAUCUUUAACGAAUCUGUAGACAAUUUAGCAACUUCUGGCAUGUGCUUCGACACAGCCUGUAGUCUUUCAUUCACUGGAGAUAUCCUCCAAGUGAUCUCGUCACCCCCAUCAUCCUGACUUUGCUUUAUUAACAUUCCAGGUGAGAAUUUGAAGCGUUGGAGAUCGAGAGAAACGGACUUGGAAAUUUCGGGCGAGAUGUCGGCGGGACUGUCGGCUGCAUCCAUGUCAUUGCUUGUGAGAUUCUGAGAAAGAAAAGCCUGAGAGGCAUUUUCCGCAUCAAAAAUCCAUCCAUUGGAUCCAUUAGUGAUAUUAGGAUGGAUUGGUAGCGACGUAAUUGGGGCUUUAGGGACUGGGAAAGCGGAAGCAGCAGAAUUUGGAGCAUUUCCAUUCGCAGGGUCGUGAAGUGCUUGGUUGGCUGCAUUACAUGGGUUAAGGGUAGAAGAGUGGUGAGGGGCUUGUUUGGGAAUAUUGGGGGCAACAGGCGGGUUAUGGGCAAGAGCAACGGAGGGAGAGGCUGAAUGGGUGAGCUGUGAAUGAGAAGAUGUGCAACUUUGAGAGGCUAAAAGAGCGUUCUGGGUGUGGCGAUGGAAGAAAUGU